GGCACUGAAGAUACAACUAUCUUGUUGUAUCCUUAUCUCAGAAGCAGCACAGAUAUUACACAUUGCUGCCUGCUGCUUUGAAUAUUUUCUGAGGUAGUAAACUAUUUUAUCUACUAAGAAAGUGCUCAAAUAUGAGUCACAAAUAAAAAUGGUAACUUUUUCUCAUUCUAAUUAUACACUUAGGUGGUACACAUCUGCUGGGACAGAUUAACAACUGAAGAAAAUCAGAAAUAUUCUAAAAUUAACAUUUGGGUACUUCAGAUCAAAAAAUUGGAAGAGUUGUGCUGCAUGACAUUAUUGGUGCCAUUUAGGUUUUGCCCUUUUUUUUAAUGUUCUCUGUAUUCUUCACACAUAUAUUUGUAGCUCUGUAGGCUAUCGUUUUAGUGGCUAGUUUUCCCAGUACUUUUCCAUAGCCUUUCCUUAACCAGAAAGACAAAACAAAUUCCAGAGCUCCAAGCCCCAGGAGGUACAAGGCUCCAGGGCUGUCUUGGUUCUUCCUGGGAACCAAGGCUGAGAACAACUCUUUGAGAUACAUUCUCAUGGACAAAGUACAGCUAGUGCCGAAGGGAGGGACUCCAGAGAAGGGUUUGACCUGGGGGGGAACUGCAUCAUCACUUGCCCUCCUAAUUGGUGCUUUUUAUCAAUUAUGCUAAUUUCCUAAAACCUAUAAAAAUGUACUCAUCCCUGUGGGGGUGGGCUUUUGUGGACAUCUUUCCAUAACAGCCUGUGAAGGCCUUCAAAUAAAGAUCCUCUUUUAUAUUCCUUACUAAAAUUAUCUCGAGUUUCAUUUCCAGGUUGGGCAAAAUUUAUUCUGAUAAAACCCAGACGGGAUGGGAGAACCUGGUAUGGUUCUUCCGGACCGAGAACAUCCUGCAAGGAAUUCUUUCCUGCUGGCAAUCUUGAGAAUUCCGGGCAGCGGCCAGAGGAUGAGACACCACGGCUCCGAGAUCCCGCAGGAGGAAGGAUCCACUGGAAUUUUGAAAAAGGAGAAAAACAGAUAGGAUGGU
rnacentral:lncRNA from 1 species